UGUCGUCAUGGUCGUGGGAACGGUGGCGGAAUGCUCGCCUGCCGAGGACGGCCGGCGGCGUUUGCGUUGCGAGAUCGUUGCCCGUGUCGGCGA
rnacentral:tRNA from 1 species